GAUGAACGCUGGCGGCGUGCCUAAGACAUGCAAGUCGAACGAAGUCUUCGGACUUAGUGGCGGACGGGUGAGUAACACGUGGGAACGUACCUUUUGGUUCGGAACAACUCAGGGAAACUUGAGCUAAUACCGGAUGAGCCCUUAGGGGGAAAGAUUUAUCGCCGAAAGAGCGGCCCGCGUUAGAUUAGCUAGUUGGUGAGGUAAAGGCUCACCAAGGCUACGAUCUAUAGCUGGUCUGAGAGGAUGAUCAGCCACACUGGGACUGAGACACGGCCCAGACUCCUACGGGAGGCAGCAGUGGGGAAUCUUGCGCAAUGGGCGAAAGCCUGACGCAGCCAUGCCGCGUGAAUGAUGAAGGUCUUAGGAUUGUAAAAUUCUUUUACCAGGGACGAUAAUGACGGUACCUGGAGAAAAAGCCCCGGCUAACUUCGUGCCAGCAGCCGCCGUAA
rnacentral:rRNA from 1 species